CCACAGCCACGCAGAAUCCGUAAGCCACUGAGUGAGGCCAGGGGUCGAACCCUCAACCUCAUGGUUCCUAUUCAGAUUUGUUUCUGCUGCGCCACAACGGGAACUCAAAGGCCAGCUGUUCUGGACUUCCUUCCUUAGCCACCAAUGAGGAGAGAGUCUUAGAAACCUUGCAGGGUAGGAAAUUAAGGAGAACUUAGAGGAAUGAAAUUGUUCUCACAAAGUUUUGCUUUCUCAAAUUUUGUUUGUUGAACAAACUGCAUUAUGGGAAAUGGCCAGCGGAGGAAUAUUGAUUUUUCAAAGCAGCGCGGUGCUUUAGGAAGGGAUGACAUGGCUUUUACUGAAAUCGCAGAAUGGCUUUAUUUUUGUCCAUGCCCCCUGGAAUGGCCUGGGGGGAAGGAAUGUGUAAUAAAAGUAAGAAAAGGAAUAGAAGGAACGUCAUUGGGGUAGGAUGCCAGAGUAUGCGGGUUCCAGCUCUUCCAUACCUGAGGAAGGGGAGAGAUUGAAUAUCGGAAACAAAAGAAAAACAAGCGAAAUGAGACAAGAUGCAGCAGAUUUACUGAUUUUCAUAUCACCAGCACGUUCACCUCUCCUUUGCAGGUCAGGCACCUUUUCUCUCUCGGCGGCAAAGCUUCAGUGCUCCAGGCCGGCAUCAGGCCAUCAGAGUGACUCAAACCACAGUGAUGCCACUUCCUAGAGUCCAGGGUCUAACCCCAUCCCUCUUUCCCCUCCUCUUCCCGUGUCCUGGCACCAAAGCUUUAAAACGAUGGGGAAGGAGAAUACUGCUUCCUCUCCCUAUCGCUGCUCUGUGUGCCCCCCAAUAAUUUAUAUGGUCCCAACUUUCCCCGGAUCCCCACCCCCCUCUGCUUCCAGGCAGUCACGAGCCAGGGGCAUCUGGGUGGACCCAGAAGAAUGCCUGUCUUUUUCUCCAAAAGCCCGUGUGGGAAAUAACAGCUAUUCUAUAGAGCACGGCUCUGCCCGGAGAGGAUGAGGACUGCGCUUUCCUAGAUGACAAAGACAGGGGUCAAGGUUUGGCCGUUGACUUCCAGCCCGGAGAUAAGAACUGUGAGAGCCAAAGCUCUAGGGAGAUGCAACAGCCAAGCAUCCAGUGAACUGGGCAGCAAAGGCCCAAAGAGAUCUGGGGCAUCGAGUUUAUCCCAAGUCUGCGGGUGGCUUGGGGCACAUCUGCUUCAGCUCGUAGGUGAUCUGUAGGUCUCUCCUUCUAGAACCUGCAGUUAUCUGGGUUCCAUGGCAGAUGGUGGAAGGGCAAGAGACCAAUCAAAAACAUACAGGUGCACUUCAAGCCCCUGGCCAGCCAAGGCUGAACAAGCGUCUGUUCAUUUACCAUCAGCCCAAGGAUGACAAGUGGCCAAACCCAAAAUCAGGGGGCAGGGAAUUCGACUCUGCCCCGGGGAAGCAAGGAUGAACUGCAAACAGAUGAUGCUCUCUGUUUUAAGAGCCAGGCAUGGCCCCUAGUUUCCGGCUGCACUGGUGGCUGUGCCCUUUACCAGGGGAAGGAAGUAAGGGCAGUGGCACAGGUUAGGGAGAGCUCAUGCGUUCAGCCUUGGAUAUUUGAUUCUGAGAUGUCUUGGGUACCAAAGCGGCAGGAGCUACGGAGAAGUCUGGCCUGAAGGUAUGUAUCCGGGAGAUGCAGCAAAGACUAGUCGUGCCCUGUUCUCCACCCACUAACCCCUUGUGUCGUUUUAGAAGAACAUCUGAUUUUUAGGGGCCACCAUACGUUUCCAAACCUCCCUUGAGUUAGAGUGGCCACCUGACUGAAUUUUAACCCAUGAAGUGUAAGCCAUGUCAUGUAUGACUUCUGUGAAGUACCCCUAAAGGAAAGGCUGUGUCCUUCCCCCUGACCUCUUCCUUCCUGCUAACAGAAAUGUGGUUGUGAUGGCUGGAGCCCAGGAAGUCAUCUUGGACCAUGAGGUAAAAAGUCCUCUGUUGAGACUGGCAGAGUGACAGGCAGGCCAGUUCCCUGACAAGAAGUACUCUUUUCUAGUAUUUAGGCUUCGGAUACUUGGAGUUUCCUCUCAUCUAUAUUCAAGCCCAGUCCUGGUACAAAAGUCACGAAAGCAAAGAAGUGCUGACAGGCAUUGAGCUUAGCCUCCAGCCUCUAAGACGAGGAUAUAGAACAGAUGUAAGGCGAGCCCAGGACGGGGCGUGAGCAUUGCCAACAUGGAACAGCCAGUGGAAGAGGCUACGUCCACAGAGACAGAGGCAGGCAGAGAGGGAGAAGGAGCAGGGAGACGGGUGUCGUGGACUUGGGCGUGGAAGGAAGGGAGUAUUUCUGGGAGGAGGGAGUCUCUGAAUGUGGGAAUCAGGCUGACCUGCCAGAUGACGGCAGAGGACACGAGCUAAGUUUGGUGCACUAGUGGGGUCUUUGCACCCCCAAAAGUGUCCUCUGGAAGACUUAGGAAGAAAAUAAAACUCUAUUACAGUUAUUAAAACAUAAUUCUCAACUUUUUUUUUUUUUUUUUUUG